UAAAAUUUAGUUUUAAUGCACCGGAUCCCAUUAGAACUCUGUAUUUACGCGCGCUUGGGCUAGAGUAGUACUGGGAUGGGUGACCGCCUGGGAAUUCCUAGUAUUUUAC
rnacentral:rRNA from 1 species